GGAUUUGAACUCUGGACCUUUGGAAGAGCAGUCGGGUGCUCUUACCCACUGAGCCAUCUCACCAGCCCCUACAAAUCACUUUUUAAAAAUGAAAACUGAUGGUAAACAAGAACAUUAUCAAGGAGGAGGAGGAGGGAAGAUCUUGACAUAGCAUAGGACAAAAUUGUAAAAACAGAAACAUAACAGGGUACUUUGUGAGAUCACAGAAAAGUCUGGGCAAAGUGUAAGAAGUUCAGAAUUCCUUCCGAGAUAAAGGACUGGCACCUGCUGAGGUCAGCUCGGUCUUUGAAAGUUUCAUUAUAGGACUGGAGAUACGUCUUAGUAGCAAGAGUGUUUGCCUAGGUAAGUUCAAGGUUCAAUCCCCAAUACUGAGUAGAGACAACCUUUCUAUAUGGCUUGGUGUGGUGGCGCUCACCAACAACUCCAGUACCCGUAAGGUAAAGGCAGAAAUAUGUAGGGGCCAACCUGGCUGACACACUGAAGCCCUAAAUCAAAGGAGACCUCUCCCCACUGUCUGUAAAUCUUGCUCCAACCAAGAGAUCAGAUUGGGUUUGAUGACUUCACAUCCUACAUAUAAGGAAACAAUGUAUUCAUGGAAGUGGUUCAUUCUGUAGGGAAAAAAAAGGAACAAUAAAUUUAGGACCCCCUUCUCCCUUUGUGUAUUUAUGUGUACAUAAUGUGUAUGUUGGUGUAUGUGUGCAUGUGGACAUGCGUCAGGUGCCUUCCUUGAUAACUCUCCACCUUUUAUACUGAGGCAGGGUUUAUUGCUGGACACGGAGCUCAUCACUGCAGCCACUGCAGCCGUCUACUGCAGCCCAGCUCUUGUGUCUCUGUCCUCUGAGUGCUUGGGAUUAUAAGCAGCCACUACGCCUGCCCACUUUUCACCUGAGUUUUGAGGAUCCAAACUACAAUUUUCAUGAUGGUAGAGGCAAGUGCUUUAUCACUGAGCCAUUUCCCUACCUCUGGUGUGUCCGAAGACAGCUACAGUUUACUCAUAUACAAUCAAUCAAUCAAUCAAUCUUUAAAAAACAAAACAAAAUUGGAGUUUAAAUCUUCAGACUCUAUGUAAAGCCAGGCACAGUAAUAUUCACAUACUCACAAAUUAUAGAAGUCACCUCAUACCCACAAUAUUCAUUUCUAAAGGUUAAGAAAUUCACCAUCAAGUGGAAACCAAAAACACUAUACAGAAAAUUCCAGAAAUAAUUUCUACGAUUUAUUUAUUUUUUUUAAAUGUAUUUAUUGUUCUUUGUGAGUUCAAGGCCAGACUCAUCUGCAUAGCAAGUUGCAGGCCAGCCAAGGCUACAUAGUAAGCCUCCAUCUCAAAAAGACCAAAAAACCCAAAAGAAGAAAACCAAAACAAACAAUAAAUGGGACCAAUAAGAUAGUUCAGCUCAGCUGAUAAAACCAAGCCUGAUGAGUUGAGCUUGACCCACUCAUACACUCCCCAUAUGGUAAGAGAGAACCAAUACUUGUAAGUUGUUCUCUGACCUCUACAAGUGUGUCAUGUGUCUGCACAUGUACACACAAUCACACAAAAAAUAAAAUUAUGAUAAAUAUGUAUAAAUUACUGAGAUCUGAAGUAUGGCUAGUCAGGAAUUAGUAUGUAGGUAUAGAUAUGAUUCUUAAAAUUUAUUUUAAAAAGUGUAUCGUUAUUUUUUAAAUUCAUUUAAAAAUUUUCUACUGUGUGUGUGUGUGUACCAUUUGCGCAGGUAUUUUCAGGGUUCAGAAGAGGUCCUUGGAUACCAAGCAGAGAUUUAGUUGGUUGUGAGCCUCCAUGUGCAUACUAGGAACUGACUUCGGGCCCUCUGGAAGAGCAGCAAGCUCUCUUACACAUCAGCUAUCUCUUCUGCCCUCUCAUUACUUAUUUUUAUUGUCUAUAUUUAUUAGUAUUUUGCAUGUAAUGAGUUCAAUUAAAAUGUAGUAAAAAUUAACAAAAACAUUUGCCUAAAAAUUGAAGAGGUCCUCUUGAAUCACUUAAGCACAUAUAUGUACAUACAGCCAAUAUAAAUAAAAAUAUACAUAAAAUAUGUAUCUAUAGUUUUUUAAUUUUGUUGCCAACGCUUGGAGGAGGAAUCCAGGGCUCAGCAGAGGCAGAGUACACAUCCCCACUCCUGAGCCUAAUCUCUCCUCCCAGCGCUCACCCGUGCAGGUGGCAGGUGCCAGGUCCAUGAUGUGGAAGAACACUCGGCACACCCUUUAACGUGUAUCCAACGGC
rnacentral:lncRNA from 1 species